CUAUGCGCCUUGCCAGCCCGCUCAGGUGUGCCAGCCGCCGCGGUAAUACAGAGGUCUCAAGCGUUGUUCGGAAUCACUGGGCGUAAAGCGUGCGUAGGCGGUUUCGUAAGUCGUGUGUGAAAGGCGGGGGCUCAACCCCCGGACUGCACAUGAUACUGCGAGACUAGAGUAAUGGAGGGGGAACCGGAAUUCUCGGUGUAGCAGUGAAAUGCGUAGAUAUCGAGAGGAACACUCGUGGCGAAGGCGGGUUCCUGGGCAUUAACUGACGCUGAGCACGAAGGCCAGGGAGCGAAAGGG
rnacentral:rRNA from 1 species